AUUGUUUCCAUUUGGCCCAAUGCAUGAGAGAGGGUUCCAGCGUGAGGCUCAGGCAAAAGCCAGAUACCAGGGAACUGCAGAGGGGCCCCUAAAAGGCCUCUGGGCUCCAAAGGCAUCCUAGUCAUGCUUGAGGGUGAGCCUUUUGAA